AGAGUUUGAUCCUGGCUCAGGACGAACGCUGGCGGCGUGCUUAACACAUGCAAGUCAAGGGGGCCCAGCAAUGGGCAACCGGCGAACGGGUGCGUAACACGUGAGCAACCUACCGAAGUGUGGGGGAUAGCCGGCCUAACGGCCGAGUAAUACCGCAUACGAUUCCGAAGAGGCAUUUCUUUGGAAUGAAACCUACGGGACACUUCGAGGGGCUCGCGGCCUAUCAGCUAGUUGGUGAGGUAACGGCUCACCAAGGCGACGACGGGUAGCUGGUCUGAGAGGAUGGCCAGCCACAUUGGGACUGAGAAACGGCCCAGACUCCUACGGGAGGCAGCAGUGGGGAAUCUUGCGCAAUGGCCUAACGGCUGACGCAGCGACGCCGCGUGAGGGAUGAAGCUCCUCGGAGUGUAAACCUCUGUUGCCCGGGACGAACAGCUCGUUUAAACGAGCCUGACGGUACCGGGUGAGGAAGCACCGGCUAACUCCGUGCCAGCAGCCGCGGUAAUACGGGGGGUGCGAGCGUUGUCCGGAAUCACUGGGCGUAAAGGGCGCGUAGGUGGUCUGAUAAGGGUGUGGUGAAAGUCCGGGGCUCAACCCCGGAUCUGCCGUGCCGACUGUCAGACUCGAGGACUGUAGAGGCAGGCGGAAUUCCGGGUGUAGCGGUGGAAUGCGUAGAGAUCCGGAGGAAGACCGGUGGCGAAGGCGGCCUGCUGGGCAGUUUCUGUCACUGAGGCGCGACAGCGUGGGGAGCAAACAGGAUUAGAUACCCUGGUAGUCC
rnacentral:rRNA from 1 species